rnacentral:lncRNA from 12 species
UUUUCAGGAGGGCCCUACCGAAGAGAGCUGAGUGUCCGCCAGCCUCUGCCUCCAGAGCUACCUUCUGCUGGGGGAGGGCCAGGCAGCAAGCAAGUGCUGUGAAUAAUGAGUCAGUUGAAGUUGUGAUAAGUGUUGUGGAGGAAAUAAAACCGGGCAAUGGGACAGAGAGGAAGGCAGGGACAAAGUCACUCCAGAUAAGAGUCCGGGCCUUCCCUUCCCUGGCAGUGGGGAAGCCCAGGGAUAAGCAACUGAACCAGCUCAUAGUGAGUCAUGGGGAGAUACAAGGCGGAAAGUCGAAGAAUACUCAGAGGAGAAAGGAAAGGAAAAAGGCUUCGCAAUGGCACCCAACUGAAGGGAGUUUAGCAGAAGGUCAUGGAGGUAAGUGCUCUGGGGCGCAUCUGGGAAAAGGCUACAUCAUCCGUGGUUGUUUACAAAGGUAGUAGCUAAGGGGAAUGAAGUAACUCAGAGAUGUUCAUCUCAUAGUCUCAUCUUGUGCACUGAUCAUCUUUAGGUCAAGAAUGAAUUCCUCUCCCCACACAAAUAUUACAGACUUGGCCCAGGUGUGCUGAAGGAGAGAGAGACAGAAAGGGG